rnacentral:rRNA from 1 species
AUUGAACGCCGGCGGCAGGCCUAACACAUGCAAGUCGGACGGUAGCACAGAGGAGCUUGCUCCUUGGGUGACGAGUGGCGGACGGGUGAGUAAUGUCUGGGGAUCUGCCCGAUAGAGGGGGAUAACCACUGGAAACGGUGGCUAAUACCGCAUAACGUCGCAAGACCAAAGAGGGGGACCUUCGGGCCUCUCACUAUCGGAUGAACCCAGAUGGGAUUAGCUAGUAGGCGGGGUAAUGGCCCACCUAGGCGACGAUCCCUAGCUGGUCUGAGAGGAUGUCCAGCCACACGGGAACUGAGACACGGUCCAGACCCCUACGGGGGGCAGCAGUGGGGAAUAUUGCACAAUGGGCGCAAGCCUGAUGCAGCCAUGCCGCGUGUAUGAAGAAGGCCUUCGGGUUGUAAAGUACUUUCAGCGGGGAGGAAGGCGGUGAGGUUAAUAACCUCGCCGAUUGACGUUACCCGCAGAAGAAGCACCGGCUAACUCCGUGCCAGCCGCCGCUGUAA